rfam:Triticum aestivum genome assembly, contig: Triticum_aestivum_CS42_TGACv1_scaffold_211110_3AS
UGAGUACUCCCUUCGUUCCGAAUUACUCGUCGCAGAAAUGAAUGUAUCUAGAUGUAUUUUAGUUCUAGAUACAUCUAUUUCUGAGACGAGUAAUUUGGAACGGAGGGAGUAAUUA